rnacentral:piRNA from 1 species
UGAACUUUGACCUGGAUCUGAUCU